rnacentral:rRNA from 1 species
GAUGAACGCUGGCGGCGUGCCUAAUACAUGCAAGUCGAGCGAACAGACGAGGAGCUUGCUCCUCUGACGUUAGCGGCGGACGGGUGAGUAACACGUGGAUAACCUACCUAUAAGACUGGGAUAACUUCGGGAAACCGGAGCUAAUACCGGAUAAUAUAUUGAACCGCAUGGUUCAAUAGUGAAAGACGGUUUUGCUGUCACUUAUAGAUGGAUCCGCGCCGCACUAGCUAGUUGGUAAGGUAACGGCUUACCAAGGCAACGAUGCGUAGCCGACCUGAGAGGGUGAUCGGCCACACUGGAACUGAGACACGGUCCAGACUCCUACGGGAGGCAGCAGUAGGGAAUCUUCCGCAAUGGGCGAAAGCCUGACGGAGCAACGCCGCGUGAGUGAUGAAGGUCUUCGGAUCGUAAAACUCUGUUAUUAGGGAAGAACAAAUGUGAAAGUAACUAUGCACGUCUUGACGGUACCUAAUCAGAAAGCCACGGCUAACUACGUG